AUUGAACGCUGGCGGCAGGCUUAACACAUGCAAGUCGAGCGGAGAUGAGGUGCUUGCACCUUAUCUUAGCGGCGGACGGGUGAGUAAUGCUUAGGAAUCUGCCUAUUAGUGGGGGACAACAUUCCGAAAGGAAUGCUAAUACCGCAUACGUCCAACGGGAGAAGGCAGGGGAUCUUGGGACCUUGGGCUAUUAGAGGAGCCUAAGUCGGAUUAGCAAGUUGUGGGGGUAAGGGCCUACCAGGGCGACGAUCUGUAGCGGGUCUGAGAGGAGGAUCCGCCACACUGGGACUGAGACACGGCCCAGACUCCUACGGGAGGCAGCAGUGGGGAAUAUUGGACAAUGGGGGGAACCCUGAUCCAGCCAUGCCGCGUGUGUGAAGAAGGCCUUAUGGUUGUAAAGCACUUUAAGCGAGGAGGAGGCUACUGAGACUAAUACUCUUGGAUAGUGGACGUUACUCGCAGAAUAAGCACCGGCUAACUCUGUGCCAGCCGCCGCAGUAA
rnacentral:rRNA from 1 species